rnacentral:lncRNA from 1 species
ACAUAAUUCCAAAGCCCCUGAAUUUACAGAAUAUUUUCAGUUAAGUCAAUGUAUGAGCAUAUGACCAACCUAAUAUGAUUAACAUAUCACCAAGAUUAAAAGAACUAUUCAGAAACCAAAUCCUCAGCAACUUUUACAAUCACCAGAAUAUCUAAGCAUGCAUAUAUAACCUGAACUUCGAUCCAUUAAACAGACUGUACCAAGUCUAAAAUCAGAUCCAGAUAAAAUACAAAUAGCAGAAACUUAAACUACCUAAAUAGAGGUCAACUAAGCAACAUAUCACACUUAGUAGAAAAUAAAACUCAAAACAGAACAGAAUUAAAUCAGAAAGCAACUGCAGUUAUGCUUUAAAAUCCUUCUUUCUCAUUUUUCAUUCUUCAACUCAAAGCUUCACCAAAACAUGUAGAAUUUCAGAGUACAUGUAUCUGGUAAUAAAAAAAGCGAAUGGAAGAGUAAGAUACUAGCAAUAUUAAGUGCAUAAUCAGCACCAACGAUAGAGCAGCCCAGAUUCAACCUAAACCCAUCAAUGAAAUCGCACUAGAAGGAAUAAACAAUUCCGAAAACAUAACCAGAUCUUUCAAUACCCAGAUUUAAACCAUUUUAACCUCAAAUAGAACCAGUUGUUGUUCAAAAAAUGAAAGAAAGCUUCAAAGUUCAGAGAGAUAUUCCAAUGGAACAGUAGAAAUUUGAGCCGCUGUAUUUCUCUAUUUUUUUAAAGGCAAGAAUGAGCUGCCUUUAUAGGCAAGCAACUAAGGUAAACAAUCAGAUUUUAGUUUUACCUUUUAGUCCCUUUUGAAUUUCAUUUUUAUUUAACAAUCCCUCAAAUUUUGACUUGCUAACCAAGCAAUGCUAUUUUUAGCUUUCUAGAAGCUUCUUGAUCAGUUAGCAUAAGAUUACUCAGUUAGCAUAAGAUUACUCUAUCUAAUUACCCCAAAAUACCCCCCAAAUGAACCAUAAUUACUUCUAAGUUUCACGUUCAGUAAAACAAAUGGACAUGGACUAGUUUGACCCAACGAACCAGCCCCAAACUUGGGCUUUCAUUAGUCAGCUUAGUAGCUCUUGGGCCUCGGAUCCUCGAAGCCCAAAUUAUGGUUCGAAUGACCAUGGGUCACAAACGAGUAAGCCCAGAGUUCAGACAUCAAAAAAAGAUAAUUGGCCACAAACAGAAGAAGGGCCAGCGAGGCCAACAAGCUUACAUAAAACUGAGAAAGCAGAAGAAAAAUAUUGAUGACCCUAAUAUGAUAAAAAAUUACUAAUGACCUAGAUCUAAACAUGCAAUCAACCAACUAAUGACUAAAGAAGAGGGAUUAAUCCUUAGGAGCAAACAAACAAAACAGAAGAAAAAUAACAAAAAAAUAGAAAGAGGAGAUGACAACUAACCAAAACAAGGCUGAGAGGCCAUGAAAUCCAAACGAAUAAACCAUAAGUGAGAGCCCGAGAGCCGGCCAAAGCAGUUGAGCCUCUAAAAAAUCGAACCAAAGUUCGAACUAGCCAGAGCUUCCAACAAGAAAAUUGGCUACCACGAAUCCUGGUUAGUAUUUGAACUUCAAAAGCCAUAGGGUCUUAAACUUUGGUAUGAGAUUCGAAGAGUUUGGUUAGGCUUCGAAAACAAUCAGUUUAGGAUUUUUGAUGAGGGGGUGAGGAGGGUUCUGGAGUGUAGUUUUGAGACCAUUCCGAGACGGCGCCGACGAUGGGUUAUGAUUCACGAUAUGAAGGAGAUGAAGUGAAGAGUGU